rnacentral:rRNA from 1 species
GACGAACGCUGGCGGCGUGCUUAACACAUGCAAGUCGAACGGUGAAGCGCCUUCCUUUUUGGUGGGUGUGGAUGAGUGGCGAACGGGUGAGUAACACGUGAGUAACCUGCCCCCUUCUUCUGGAUAACCGCAUGAAAGUGUGGCUAAUACGGGAUAUUCUGGGUCUGUCGCAUGGUGGGUCUGGGAAAGAUAUUGUUUCGGUGGGGGAUGGGCUCGCGGCCUAUCAGCUUGUUGGUGGGGUGAUGGCCCACCAAGGCGGUGACGGGUAGCCGGCCUGAGAGGGUGGACGGUCACACUGGGACUGAGACACGGCCCAGACUCCUACGGGAGGCAGCAGUGGGGAAUAUUGCACAAUGGGCGCAAGCCUGAUGCAGCGACGCCGCGUGAGGGAUGGAGGCCUUCGGGUUGUGAACCUCUUUCGCCAGUGAAGCAGGCCUGCCUCGUUUGUGGGUGGGUUGACGGUAGCUGGAUAAGAAGCGCCGGCUAACUACGUG